UUUAUGGAUUUAGCUUUAGCAGCUGGUGAUAUCCCUGUGAACUUGAGCACAUAUCUGCGGUAAGAUCACAUGAAUGCUUUGGUUGUGUAACUUGUGAAAGACGUCUUUCUCCAGCUGCCCCGAGCGCUGCCAGAGCUGUGACAGACUGCUGGAAACUCGUCUUCAUCAGGGUCUCCUGGAAACAUUUACAGAGCUUUCAAGAAGAAUUUAUUACGCAACUCAACAGUCGCUCCCACAGAGGAUGUCAUUCGGCUCGUGUUUCUGGGGCAUCUUCUGGCUGCUGGUGCUGCUGUUUCUCGGCUGGCCCUUGAGCAUUAUGCUGGGGGGUCUGUACGGCCUCAUCGCCCCUCUCACUGUCUGCCUGGGUCUGGACCGGCUGGCCGACCUGCUGAUGGAGGGGGCCAAUCUGGGCAGAACGUGUGCCCAGAACAUGAGGCAUGGCAAAGCGCUGUGCUGAGACCAAUAGCUAAGAGUGCUCAGCCUUCUACGUCUCUUCACUUCAGCUGUAUUAAGUCAACAUGAACUGUUCUUGACAGUUUACUGUGCCUUUGAUUCUGUGACUACAACAUAAUGUUUUCUUAAAGCCUUAGUAUCGCUUUCUUGCUUCCUCUCUGUAUCUCUUUCUCUUAGGCUGUUUGACUAUGAAAAAUGACAAUUUUCUGGUACUGGUGUCUUGAGUUCACAAUGUUGAAACACAUGAGUAUACUUAUAUUACAAGAAGAGUUUGUUCAAAUGCAAGAUGCAGGUCUUCAAAACCAUCCACAGAGUCUCCACACAGGCCACAAAACAGUCCGUUUCAGGUCAAGAAAGUGCAGAAGUAAACGUUUGUAUCAGUGCAUUAUUGUGCAUUUAUUCUGUUUGAAUCGAUAUGUCAAUAAUAUGAUUGAAUGCAAAAUAGUUAUUUAGAACUGCAACAUUCCUGUUCUCACAGAUUAAUGAAGAAACUGAUUUUCAGCUCCAUGUACUGCAGAAUAAUACUAAAACUGAUUUGUUACAUGAAAUAAAUUUUUUAUA